GGGAAGGACCGGGCAGCGUUACCAUGCAAGUCGAACGAUGAACCUCCUUCGGGAGGGGAUUAGUGGCGAACGGGUGAGUAACACGUGGGCAAUCUGCCCUGCACUCUGGGACAAGCCCUGGAAACGGGGUCUAAUACCGGAUACUACGCGCUCGGGCAUCCGACGCGCGUGGAAAGCUCCGGCGGUGCAGGAUGAGCCCGCGGCCUAUCAGCUGGUUGGUGAGGUAACGGCUCACCAAGGCGACGACGGGUAGCCGGCCUGAGAGGGCGACCGGCCACACUGGGACUGAGACACGGCCCAGACUCCUACGGGAGGCAGCAGUGGGGAAUAUUGCACAAUGGGCGCAAGCCUGAUGCAGCGACGCCGCGUGAGGGAUGACGGCCUUCGGGUUGUAAACCUCUUUCAGCAGGGAAGAAGCGCAAGUGACGGUACCUGCAGAAGAAGCGCCGGCUAACUACGUGCCAGCAGCCGCGGUAAUACGUAGGGCGCGAGCGUUGUCCGGAAUUAUUGGGCGUAAAGAGCUCGUAGGCGGCCUGUCGCGUCGGUUGUGAAAGCCCGGGGCUUAACCCCGGGUCUGCAGUCGAUACGGGCAGGCUAGAGUUCGGUAGGGGAGAUCGGAAUUCCUGGUGUAGCGGUGAAAUGCGCAGAUAUCAGAGGAACACCGGUGGCGAAAGCGGAUCUCUGGGCCGACACUGACGCUGAGGAGCGAAAGCGUGGGGAGCGAACAGGAUUAGAUACCCUGGUAGUCCACGCCGUAACGGUGGGCACUAGGUGUGGGCGACAUUCCACGUCGUCCGUGCCGCAGCUAACGCAUUAAGUGCCCGCCUGGGGAGUACGGCCGCAAGCUAAAACUCAAGGAAUUGACGGGGCCCGCACAAGCGGCGGAGCAUGUGGCUUAAUUCGACGCAACGCGAGAACUUACCAAGCUUGACAUACACCGGAAACAUCCAGAGA
rnacentral:rRNA from 1 species